rnacentral:misc_RNA from 1 species
UCUCCGUUGGUGAACCAGCGGAGGGAUCAUUACAGAGUUGUAAAACUCCCAAACCCAUGUGAACAUACCUUUGUUGCUUCGGCGCGCUUCACGGCCGCCGAAGACCCUAAACUCUUGUUUUUACAUGUGUUACUCUGAGUAAUUCUUGAAAUAAAUCAAAACCUUCAACAACGGAUCUCUUGGCUCUGGCAUCGAUGAAGAACGCAGC